GAGGAGAUGGAGAAGAAGGUUGAGUUGUUUGCCUCUGUGGCAACAGCUUUAGCCAGAUAGGACUUUCCUGUACCCGGAGGCCCAAAGAGCAAGAUCCCUCUCCAUGGAGUUCUCUUUCCUGUCAGUCAAGCAAAAAGAGGUCACCCCAAGAUCACUGUAGAAGCAUCAACCACUUGGUGGGGUACUUCACAGGUUUGGGGCUCCUAUGAUCCAGCUUUAAGAGCUUGACAGCCCUGUGCUUGUCAUGGCUACUUUUAAUAUUGACUGAUGUAUUUUUUAUUAUUGUAAAGCACUUUGUGAUUUUGUAUCUGUGAAAGGUGCUAUACAAAUAAACUCUACUUACUUACUACUUACUUAAUCAUCUUCCAUCUUUAUCAUUAUGGCCAGACAAUUUCUUUUAAUUUCAUAAUCACACUUUUCUUUUUGUAUUUGCACAAGUGGCAGCCAGUUCAAAUCGCCCUUUGAAACUGCAGAAUACUUCUCACUGUGACUAUAAUAAUACAGUGUCUAUUUCACAUUACCAUAUACCUUGAAGGAUGAUUGUAAAGUAUGGGGAUACAAAAAAAGUAUAUAGUUCUUAUAAAUCAAAGCUUAAAACUUUACUGUUUGCUGCUGGCUUUUAUUAAAUCAAAUAAUGAUCUUAUACUACACUAUAACUUUUACUCUUGUGUGUUCUACUCUAUUUUAGCUUCGAUCCUAGCUUUUAU